CGGAGUGUGGCGCAGCCUGGUAGCGCACUUGCAUGGGGUGCAAGGGGUCGUAGGUUCGAAUCCUAUCACUCCGACCA
rnacentral:tRNA from 1 species